UGUCAAGGGAUGGGAAUCGAACCCACGACCUUUCCGCUUACAGGGCAGAUGCCAUGACCACUAGGCUACCCUGGAC
rnacentral:tRNA from 1 species